CCAAGAAGAGCUAAUGAGAUGGACACCGGUGACUUGGGAGUCCUGCCAGUCCUCCGAGUGCCCAGCAGAUCAAACAUUGCUUCUGGCUAUAAAGGUCUGAGGUGUCAAGCUGCGUACAGCUCACUUCCAGGAAACUCAUGUUGAAAGUGGAACAAGCCAAGUAAGCAAGUCCAAGUGAAGAGAGGGAUGCUGGAAAGAAAUUGGUCCAUGGUGCAAGAUGCCAACUCUAAACACUGCCAAACCAAGUGAAAUCCAUCACAGGAAUAUAGCUCUACAAUUAGAGGUGAAAGAAAAAAGAAAUACCUGGCAGAUGAUGGCUAUGAGAGCCUACACGAGAGGCAACUUUUUCAGGAAGAAUGAAGAACAACAACCAUGUGAGGCAGAAGAGUUAAGCCCUGCAAGCGCUAUUCUGCUGUGAGCGAGGAUGCAGCAGAGAGAAGAUGGUAGAGAUGGAAGAGUGAGGUUCUGGUUUGAAUCCUGCUAUUGAAUACUCAAGUGGCCUUAACCUCUCUGAACUUCAGUUUCUUCAUUGUCAAAUGGAGAUAAUCAGCUUAUUGUCAGUAUUGAACUGCCUUGUGCCAUGAUAAGAU
rnacentral:lncRNA from 1 species